UAGAUGCGAGAGUAGAGCAUAUCAAUAAGCGGAGGAAAAGAAACUAACAAGGAUUCCCUUAGUAACGGCGAGUGAAGCGGGAAGAGCUCAAAUUUGAAAUCUUCAAGGGUUUCCCUUGACGAAUUGUAGUUUAAAGAAGUGUUUUCUGUUAGAGAGGUGGUAAAAGUUCUUUGGAAUAGGACAUCAUAGAGGGUGAGAAUCCCGUAUUUGAUCACUUUCUACUAACGUUGUGAUACACUUUCAAAGAGUCGGAUUGUUUGGGAAUGCAGUCCAAAAUGGGUGGUAAAUUUCAUCUAAAGCUAAAUAUUGGCGAGAGACCGAUAGCGAACAAGUACCGUGAGGGAAAGAUGAAAAGAACUUUGAAAAGAGAGUUAAACAGUACGUGAAAUUGUCAAAAGGGAAGCGUUUGACACCAGUGUUGUUUUCUCGAAAAUCAAUUAAAAAUGGUGGGAUUUUGUGUUGUAUUGACUUUAUCAGCUUUCUGCACUCUUUUUCCUAUCUUUUUUAAUGCACUUUUCGUUUAACAAGUCAACAUCAAUUUCUUUUGUUGUAAAAGGGUCAUUGGAAGGUGGCUUUCUUUUCGGAGAAAGUGUAUAUAGCCUUUGAUCUCUGCGACCGGAGAGACUGAGGUCUGCAGCGUAGACUCUUCGGGGUUAGAUACAUUUGUGCUAAGCUAUAGCUUUUUAUAGACAACUUGUUGACUAUAUUUAGUCUUGUGGCUUAGCUCGCUUAUGCUAUUUUACCUACGCUUAGGAUGUUGACGAGACUGUCGAUCUC
rnacentral:rRNA from 1 species